rnacentral:lncRNA from 1 species
AGAAACUCUGAAUCAUGUGUCAUAUUUAUGCUGAGGUAUUGAAUACUAGAUUAGUGUUUUCUGGUUGGACUUCAUUGUCCACUUCCAUUAUUUGAACUGUUGAACAUACAUUUUAUUCUACUUGGUAGGGGUCAAAAACUCACAUGGGAGGAACCAUGCGUUUGGGAUCGAGGAGAACAUACUUCAAGGUUGCAGAAUGCAGAUCUUCAAAGCUGUAUGGAGAUGUCAUUCCUUUAAGCUUAUAUUUAUGUACAUUUAUGUGUGCACCUCUAACACCCACGUGCACACCCGCAUAUGUAUUGACAUACUUGUUUUUUUGUUGGAUAAUAAGUGUCUGUUUGGUCCGGUCUCUGCUUUUCUUUUGUUUGUCAAAAAGCAUAAGCCUAGCCAAACAAUAAGAAACAGAAGUGCGUUUAGGGAAAAACUGAAGUUAUUUUUGGUUUUGAGAAAUCAUUUGUGUCAUAGGAGUUAACAAUAUUUUUGGUAAAUAUAUUUUUUAACCUUAUAUCUUAUUAAUCUACUAAUUUAAUAUUUCUAAAAUGAAAAUAUGAUAUUGAUUUAUUGAUGACUUUAUAUUAUUACAAAUUAUUUAAUUUUUAUAUUAAAAUUAAAUAAUGAUACACUAAAAAUUAAAUAAGAUAAUUAAAUUCAAACAAUAUUUUAAAAUAAUUUAAAUUAUUCUAAUAACUUUUUUUUGGAUGAAGUUAAUAAUUUUAGAUAAUUAUAAUAAAUUGUUUCUUAAUUACUACGCAAUAUUUUAUCUUUCAAUGUUUAUCCUUAGUUUUGUAACAUAAUUAAGUAAACAUACUACAUUUUAUGCUGAAAGCAUUUUUUUCUACAGCAAAUUUUAUUAACCAUAUAUUGCUUUCACCAUAGAGCUGCUUUAUUGAAAGUUAUUUUCAUAUAGAACUCAUAACAGCUUACAACACAAACCAGUCUGGCCAAACAAACUCUAGGUCAUUAAAUUUCUUCUUGGUAAAUUUUCAUUUUCGAUUGGGCAUUGAUGAUUAUCCCUUGAAAUGGGUUUA